rnacentral:rRNA from 1 species
UACAGAGGUCCCGAGCGUUGUUCGGAUUUAUUGGGCGUAAAGGGUGCGUAGGCGGCGGAGUAAGUUGGGUGUGAAAUCCCGGGGCUCAACCUCGGAAUUGCAUUCAAUACUGCUUCGCUCGAGUACUGGAGAGGAGGCUGGAAUUUACGGUGUAGCAGUGAAAUGCGUAGAGAUCGUAAGGAAGGCCAGUGGCGAAGGCGAGUUCCUGGACAGUGACUGACGCUGAGGCACGAAGGCCAGGGGAGCAAACGGG